rnacentral:rRNA from 1 species
GGACCCGCACAAGUAGUGGAGCAUGUGGUUUAAUUCGAAGAUACGCGCAGAACCUUACCAACACUUGACAUGUUCGUCGCGACUCUAAGAGAUUAGAGUUUUCGGUUCGGCCGGACGAAACACAGGUGCUGCAUGGCUGUCGUCAGCUCGUGUCGUGAGAUGUUGGGUUAAGUCCCGCAACGAGCGCAACCCUCACUUUUAGUUGCCAUCAUUAAGUUGGGCACUCUGAAAGAACUGCCAGUGAUAAGCUGGAGGAAGGUGGGGAUGACGUCAAGUCCUCAUGGCCCUUAUGGGCUGGGCUACACACGUGCUACAAUGGCGGCGACAGAGGGUUGCGAGCUCGCGAGAGCAAGCUAAUCCCAAAAAGCCGUCUCAGUUCGGAUUGUUCUCUGCAACUCGAGAGCAUGAAGGUGGAAUC